CGGAGCCUUGGGCCCUGGGCGUGGUUGGCUAGUGGCCCUGCCUUUCCCGUGCUCACGGGGCCCGCCCCUGGCGUGCGAAGGCCUUCCUUCUCUGUCUCGGCUGCGUCAUAACGCUGCUCCUCCCAGGCCAGACGGCUUCCGUGCAGCUCUGCUUUCACUUUACUGCCUGAGACCAUGGGCGCUCUCCUGAGUGGUGGCCAGGAUGGCCCGGAGCCCGCGCAGCCCCAGCCUCCAGCGCCGCAGGGUCCGCAGCAGCCUCAGCCGGAACCUGGCCCGUGGGGGCCACUGGACGACGUGCGCUUUCUAAUCGCCUGCACGUCCUGGUACUGACCCGGCCACCCCUGGCCUUCAUGCCCUCCUGGGCCUGGCCUGGCUUUUAUCUCCUCACCCUGUGAUUUCCUGUCUUACUCCCUCUGGGCAGAGAUUCAAGAAAGAUCGCGGAGACUGAAAGUCCCUCAGGGCCACCUCAGAGAAUUGCACCUCAGCUUCAGACUUGACAGACCCCCGAACCAGCUCAUUCCCACGCCCCCUUUCAGCUCUGUCCUUGGGCUGAUUUCCUUAAGAGGAAGAGCCAGGAUCAGAUGAGGCGUCCUGGCAGGCUCUUGAUGCUGUUGAAUCCUGGUUUCCCCCUCGCUAGAACUGAGCUGCUGCCUGGCCAUAGCCCCAUGUGCCCUGUCUCCAGAGAAGUCUUGCCACAAUGACCCUCCCGUACUCCUGAGGUUCCUGGGUGACGGGUUGGGGUGGGGUGGGGAGGACAGGACAUUGAUUGCUGGUUAGAAGAUGCACGAGGCAACUGCAGAAGUACACUCCCAGGGUACCCUUUUCUCCCUGAAACUUCUUACGGGCACACAUAUGCCCUGGUCUUUGUUCCCAUACCCCAGGGGAAAAAACACUGUAUUUCUGUUUUAUUUAGAAAUGAUUUAAAAAACAUUGUACAAAGGCUGAUCAGUUUAAAAUGUGACCGACACUGAGAUGCUGUGAUGUCACCCAGGCCGAGGGGAAGCUGAGCUCUGGGGGCUCUAGUACUUUGCCCCUCUGACUGCUCUGACCUGGGCUGAUGGACAAACAGAUGACCGCAGGCAGAAGAAUCCAAGAUUGGAAGCCUCUAGGCUGAGCCCUCUCUGGGCCCGGCCCUGUGUCCCUCACAUCUGCAGCCUGGGCUGCCUGCCUCCAUCCCCUGCUCUUUCGCAACUGGCCUUGGAAUGCCAGGAGCCAACAGGGAGCCUGCGGGGCCUAGAGCUUUCAAGAAGUGAGCACCAACCUGAGGAGAGGGACCAGGGGACUGGGGGAGGGAGGCCCAGAGGAGAGGACUAGAAGAGACAGUUUUCUCGGACCCUGGAAGGGCCCACUGAUGGGGACACAAGACCCAGCCAGGGCCACCUGGAUGGCAGGGGCAGAUAAUAAGACCUCCUUGUGCUUCAUCUGAGGGUAAGAUGAGUGCUACCCUCAGCCUCUCUCAGAGCCUACAGGAGUUUCAUGUGAGUGGACAGCUGUGAGCUAAUAAAGUGCUUUGCAAAGUAUAAAACGCUGUACAAACCUAUGAAUCACUAAAUCUCUGCAGUUGUUCCCCGCCUGCCCCAGGGAGCCUGCCCUUGGCCAAAAUGAGCAAGAACACAAUGGUGAGAUGGGACACAGUGGACCCACAUAGGUGCUUCUGGGACAAGAGAUUUUACUCAACAACUCCCAGGGCAUCAAGAGUCUCUGUCUGUGCUACAGGGCGAGAGACCACAGGGCAGGGGCAAAGCCCAUGCAGGCUCAGAGGUCAGAGUUGGUAUCUGUGACCCACUAGCACCCUGAUGGCCGCCUCAUACCACCGUUGGGUUUGGCAGAGAGCCAGUGAGUGACACUUGCACCCAGUGGUUUUGGAGCAAGCCAAACCAAGACUUAGGAACUGUCAGAUGUGAAGAAGGGCCUCAGGUUAAAACAAACAACAAAAAGGUAGUUUGGGUUAGGGAGUUGGGGGAAACCCCAAAGCCUGGGGCUGCUACCAGCUGGGAAGAGGACCCUUUUUCUAAGAGCAGUGCAGGAAGAUGGACCCAGAGACCUGGGCUGCCAGGGUCAAGAUAGGAGCACAAACACCGACUCCAGGCUGGAGCUGAGUUGCCUCAGGGUCACUGGGGAUGUAGAUGGAGAACUUAAAAGGCUGCCCUGGUCCCUUACUCUGAGAAGAUGACAAGGGUGGCUCUAGAAUCCUCUCUGCUUUACCUGUAGUCAGGCCGAGCCCCCAGGCCACAGAGGACAGGCUGGAGCAGGGCAGGGGACAACAUUAAUGAAGGGGAGUAGAGAAUGGUCACAAACUUGCAUCCGCCCCCAGAACCAGGGUCAGCUCCUGCAGCUGUUGAGCCUCCUGAACAGGAUGCCCGCUAGUAUCAGGAUGCCCGAGUGGCCUUUGCAGCACCGUGGUCCUUAGUGCCCAAGGAAGGGCCACCAUACUGGCCUCAUCACCAAGACAGUCACCUCUAGCUGACCUAAAGCCUCAAGUAGCCUUUGCAAAAUGGGACUUUAAACAGUAGUGACAGGACAUUUAAAUAUUCACGACAUGACAGCUGGGUCCUUGUGAGAUCCAGCUGGGCCACAGCCUUGCCUGCAGCAUGUGACCCUAAGUUCUGAGUCUCAGAGGAGACCUGGCGGGUGGAACAGGUUUCCUGAGGAAUCCUCUAUGGGCUAGCAGGGGAAACCCAGGCUUUUGCCCACUCUGUUGGCAUCAGGGGCACUGCAGCCUUGGAGGAUAGUAGGGUAGGGAUGAGGGGACAUCUGACCAGCAGGUGUUGGCAGAGGGGACUGGGAUUGGUGGCAUCUUGGGGUGGGGGUGAGAGCUAGUGCUGGCUUGCCUCAGAGGGCUGGGUCCCAGCCAGGACUGGAGCUGUGGUAUCUUGCAGACACCACAGGAUGCAAUGACCUCAGGGGCACCUCCUGGCACCAUCCUUGCCUCCUGACAGGGCCUGGCCUAUUCCCUUGAGUAGAGAGAGGUCUGCCCAGGACAGAAGGCUGGCAGCUGGGUGCCAGCUACCCAACCUGGGGCAUAGCCACCAUCACUCCCUGCCCCGCACUCAGCCUAGACCAGUGCACCCACCACUUCAGCUACACACGAACCUGGCCUAGGGCCCUGCUGGCCCCAGUGGGCAGUGGCUAGAGCUGCCCCUCAGACCCUGGUGAGGAAGGGCCUGGCUGGCCAGACCGGGUAGACAGAGAGGGUUCUGGGCUGCUCAUACCCACUCCUGGACCGGCCGCUUAUAGUAGGUGACGGGCUGAGGACCCGCCUUGUUCUUGAAUUGGAAGAUAGUGUAGAGCAGCACCAGGAGGCAGAGGGACAGUGUGCAGGGGACAACCACAGCCACAGCGUUCACAGAGCCUGGCACGUCAUCGAUGGUCACCAUGAUGUCCACAUCAUCCUGGGGCAGCCUCCGCUCCUUACGCCGCUCUACCUCCUUCUGCUUGCAGCCCAUCCAGUCACGCAGGAUGUUGCGUGGGUAGCCUGGCUCCACGCUCAGUUUCUGGUUGUCAAACUUCCAGUAGUCCCGGCCUUUGUAGAAGUAGGUGUAAUCUGUGGAAAUGGGAAGGACUCAGCACCACUACUCCAACUCACCCCUAGCACCUGCUCUCAACUAAUUUGAACCUGGGGUCCUGCAGCAUUGUGUGAGACAGGGGCUCCAGGUGGCAUGGUAGGUGGAGCGGGGUGGUCUGUUGGAAUGGAGGUGAUUGAGUGCACUGCUUGCCCCACGGAUGGUGCAGUAAUCAACACAGCAAAGUAGGACUCCCAGGAUGUGGACAAUCUUGCUUGCUAGCUCAAAGGUGCUGGGAAACCACUAAGGGGUUUUGAGUCGAGCGGGCAAAUGCUUUAAUGUGUACUGCCCAGGCUGGCUCUGCCUUAGUAUGGAAACAGCUCUGUCACAUUGUGCCCCAGGCUUCCCAUAAGGGUCAGAUCAAGUACUUGUACAAUGUCAUUUCCAUAGCUCUAGGACCUCAGCCUAUUUUUUGUCCCAAGCCAGUGGAGUUAAAGAGCAAGAUUUUAUUUGUUAGCAGCAGACACCAUGGCUUCAUAAUUAUAGAUUUUGGGGGAUGGCCUGGGCUUGGCAUAUAUCACUCUGCAAUACGGAUACCAGUUCUUUUGGACCCUCUAGUGGCUUUGACGGCUGGAAGGAAAGAGGCAGACCAGGCAGCUCUGCCAAUCACUCCCUGGGCAAUUUCCUUAAGACUCCCAGCCAGUCGGCAGACAGCAAAGCAGCUCACAUCGACUCUCCUCAUUGGCUGGCUCCCCAAGACUUUCAUUGGUCAAAGUCUUUGAUGUCACCUGUCUCUGAGGCCACAUGUGUAAAGUAUCACAUUUUAAAAGCCACUAAACAGUGGUGUCCCUCUGCCUCGUUUAUUUCUCCAGCUUUUGUGGCAAAGUUAUUUUCUGUCACUGGACAACUAUGCAAGUCUUUUUUUAUUGCUUUCAUCCUGAGCCCCAUCCCAUACGCUGGUUCUUAGUGAUCACCAUGCAGCGAAUGACUGAACCCUGCCAUUUCACACCAACUGAAAUGCUAGUAAGAUGAUAAGGGCAGCUAAAGCCAUUACAUGGCAUAGACCAUGUGGUGGGCAUUAUGCUAAGUGUGCUCUAAUUUGCCUUAUGAAUCUUUUAUCGCCCAGCCCAAGGGUAAGUGCUACUAUUCUCAUUUCAUGAAUAGUAGAACGAGAAAAGGUCAAUGACUUGCCCGCUUCUAUAGAGAGCAGUGCAGGGGGUCUGUGAACCCAGCCAGCUCCAGUCAAGUGUCAGUGCUUUUAUCCAGGUCGGUCAGUAGACAGUCAUGGAUGCUUGUUCUGUACCUGGUAAAGUCUGAGCCUCCUUAGAGAAGCUUCUAAUCUGAUAGGGAGACCUGAUGGCAUACGGAGAUUGCCAGGGUAGCCUUCAAGCCCCAUGAAAAGUAACCUUUGAACCACCUCCUAUCCAUCACUGCAAGUUAAUUUACUAUGUGAACAUGGUCCAUUUGGGGCCAUUUGUCGGCUAUCAAAUUACAUCACUCCAAUUGGGAUACUCCAGAGAAGAUGCCUGGCCCUUGAGAACCACAUAAGAUUAACUCCCCAUUCCCACCUCAGCUUGGCCCUUACAUACAUCCUUCCUUGCUGAUGAAGGCCCCUUGCGGAGCCUGCGGGAUGCCCUUCCACACGGUGAUGGGCUUGGGGUAGCCAGGGUCUGUGGCUCGCCGCUCCUCGCUGUAGCGCCAGUAUCGUUCGCCUUUGAAGAAGUAGGUUUUGCCCACAGGUUCCCAGCGCAGAGCUGUGUCAAUUCCUUCACGGGGCAGGCAGCUUCCCAGCUCCCCCAAGCUGUGGGGGUACCCAGGUUCCACCGUCACUUCUUUGAAAACCCAGUACUUGUCUCCUGCAGAGAAGAGAACACAGAAUCAGCCUCCGUGAGCCGCUCAGGGCUGGCACAGUGCUCCCACUUGCCCAUCUUCAUUCAUGAAGCCGGAAUGUGAGUUUUAGCCCCUGGCCCAGCAGACCUGUGGAGCAAAAGCCAAUCGUAGCUUUUGGGCAAUGUGCACCAUACUACAUAGGUUCUCUGUCCCACCAUCUUGGUUUUGAUGUCACUUUUGUUUUUUGUUUGUUUGUUUGUUUGUUUUUCGAGACAAGGUUUCUCUGUGUAGCCCUGGCUAUCCUG
rnacentral:lncRNA from 1 species